UGGUAGAUCAGUUUCCUACAGAGCUCCGG
rnacentral:piRNA from 1 species